rnacentral:rRNA from 1 species
UAUUGGACACUGGGCGAAAGCCUGAUCCAGCCAUGCCGCGUGUGUGAAGAAGGUCUUCNGAUUGUNANGCACGUUAAGUUGGGCGNACGGGCAUUCAGUUAAUACCUUGCUGUUUUGACGUUCCCGACAGAAUAAGUACUGGCUAACUUCGUGCCAGCAGCUGCGCUAAUACGAAGGGUGCAAGCGUUUAUCGGAAUUACUUGGCGUAGACCGCGCGUAGGUGGUUUGUUAAGUUCGAAGUGAAAGCCACAGGCCCAAACUGGGAACUGCUUUCAAAACUGGCCAGCUAGAGUAUGGCAGAGGGUGCCGGAAUUUCCUGUGUAACGGUGAAAUGCGUAGAUAUAGGAAGGAUCACCAGUCGCGAAGGCGACCACCUGGGCUAAUACUGACACUGAGGUGCGAAAGCGUGGGGAGCAAACA